rnacentral:rRNA from 1 species
GGCGAGAAGGUGACAUACAGCGCACAAUCAGGUUCCAAGGGUUGGGCUGUUCGCCCAUUAAAGUGGCACGCGAGCUGGGUUCAGAACGUCGUGAGACAGUUCGGUUUCUAUCUAUUGCGGGCGUAAGAAAUUUGAGAGGGGCUAACUCUAGUACGAGAGGACCGAGUUGGGUAAACCUCUGGUGUAUCAGUUGUGACGUCAGUUGCAUUGCUGAGUAGCUACGUUUAUAAGAGAUAAGUGCUGAAAGCAUCUAAGCACGAAACUCGCCUCAAGAUGAGAUUUCAAUAAGGGCGGUUAAAGAUGAUGACCUUGAUAGGUUGCAGAUGUAAAGUCAGUAAUGGCAAAGUCGAGCAAUACUAAUUACCCGAACGUUUCUUUUUA